AUGAAAUUCGGCCGGACAAGGAAUAUGACUCUGGCUCGGAUGAUGGAAAUUGCCACCAAGUAUGCCAAUGGUGAAGAAGAAGAGCGGCUCCGGAGCGGCAAGAACAAAGCAGUCGCCCACGAAGCCGGAGGAGGAAACUCCGGUUGGAAACAGAAGCGCAAGGCCGAGCCAGCAGCGCCGGUUGAAGCCUUGGCUGUGGUUCAAGGAAAGUUCAAGGGGAAGCCCAAAGGGCCGUGGAACCCCAAGAAAGUAAAAGAUCAAGAUGGAAAUGACGUGUUGGAUCUGCCGUGCCAUAUCCACACCAAAAAAGAUGAAGAAGGUAAUUUUAUUUACCCGAAGCACACCACUCGGCAGUUUCGGCUCCUAAUCCAGCAGUUCCGAGAGAAACAGCCCAAGAAAAAAGAGAAGGAGACAGACAAGGCCGAGGAUGAGGAAGAGGAUGACGAUGGUUAUCCCCACGUGAAUUCCACUCUAAUGAUUUUUGCUGAUGUCAAGAGCAAAAGUCGAUUGAAAGUUAUCAAUAGGGAAGUGAACAUGGUCGCUCUGGCGACACCCAGUUACUUGAAGUGGUCACAGACUGCCAUUACAUUCGACCAGUCUGAUCAUCCAGCGCACAUCGCCACCCCUGGGAGGCAAGCACUGGUGGUCCACCCGGUUGUCGAAGGCACUCGACUGACAAAGGUCCUGAUGGACGGUGGCAGUGGUCUGAACAUACUGUAUGCAGAAACGUUGAAAGAAAUGGGCAUUCCGAUGUCCAGGCUCAGUGAAAGCCAUAUGAGUUUUCAUGGGGUCAUUUCAGGCAAGAAGGCCGCAUCCCUCGGUCAGAUUGCACUCGAUGUGGUUUUCGGUGAUUCCAAAAAUUACCGCAAAGAAAAGUUGAUGUUUGAAGUUGUGGAUUUCCAGAGUGCUUAUCAUGCAAUUCUACGCAGGCUAGCUUAUGCACGAUUUAUGGCUCGACCAUGUUACGUGUACCUCAAACUGAAGAUGCCAGGUCACAGAGGAGUGAUUACUAUCUCUGGUAAUCGGAAGAAGGCAGAAGAGUGCUUCCAGAAGGGCUCAAAGAUCGCCGAUGCCGAGAUGGCCGUAGUAGAAUUGCAAGAAUACCAGAAAAAUGCAGAUCCGAGUGACUUGCUGCGAGCCAAGAAGCCAGCCACAGAUUCAGUAUUCCAGUCGUCUGGUGAAACGAAGUCAAUUCAUAUUCACCCGACAGAUCCCAGUGCUGCUCCGACUCACAUUUCAACCUCACUCGACUUCAAAUAG
rnacentral:rRNA from 1 species